rfam:Loxodonta africana unplaced genomic scaffold scaffold_108, whole genome shotgun sequence.
GGUUCCAUGGCGUAGUGGUUUGCACAUCUGCUUUACACGCAGAAGAUCCUGGGUUCAAUCCCCAGUGGAGCCA